AUUGAAACCAUUAUGCAUUAUAAACACACAUGCCAUGCAUACCUUAUCAUAGACCUUGUAGUGACCUGCCUAAGAUACAUGGCAGUCCCAUACAUGUCAAAAGCCCAUCCCUCAUUAUACAGAUGUAUAUAUUGUGCAGUUGAAAGGGCUAGGAGGAGGGCCCAGAAAGUGACUGCUAUUUGUGAAGUGCUAGAUAAAAAAGGGGGAAACAUCCAAGGCAAUAUUUGCGUCCUGAACAGCAUAAUCUGCCGGUGGACCCCGAAUAUCAGCCUCUCCGUAUGAAGUGCAGCCAACGUGGACAAUAAAGGAAAUCAAGACAAGCGCGGACGAGCUGUAGAGUGCCUCCGCAUCCAACAUCGCCCUUUCCUCUGAUCCGCUCGCCUUCGCAGAAGAAAAAAUAACAGCUAACGUGUGUCUGUUGCGGAGCCCUCCGUUCCCAGGAUGCACCUGGUGGGGACAGGGCGGAUGUUGGGGACAGCUGCUUCCUGUCCACACUUCCUGCCUGGCAAAAAAACGCGGCUCGGGUGGACGGAGGUUGGAGUUGGUAGAGGAUGAGAGGUAACCGCUUCCUCUUGAAAAAAGAAUAGGAUUACGCUGGGAGUCAUGGAAACCUGUUCGAGAGCCCUGGGAUGUGCUUUGGUGACUGCUCCACUGGGAGGCGCUGUUUUCUUGUUGAAUUCCUCUACAGCACACACACACACUGUGUCAGAGGUAAGUACUGUGAACAGGGCUGCUCCAUAUGUGGGUGGUCCGUCCAAGGUGGAAGGCAGAGGGAUUAACACAGCUCUCGUGUUGAAGGGAGCCAAAGAGCCAGAGAGAGAGAGAGGGAGAGAGAGAGGGAUGAAGAGAGAGAGAGAGAAAUUUUCACUUUUAGUCUCAUAAGAACACAUCUGUCUUACAGAUGUGGGCUGACUUUACAAAACGGGACAGAGAGAAAGAGAGAGAGAGAGAGAAAGAGAGAGAGAGAAAGAGAGAAAAAAAAAA